rnacentral:rRNA from 1 species
UACGUAGGGGCCUAGCGUUGUCCGGAUUUAUUGGGCGUAAAGAGCUCGUAGGCGGUUUGGUGAGUCGGGUGUGAAAUCUCCACGCUCAACGUGGAGGGGCCACCCGAUACUGCCAUGACUAGAGUCCGGUAGGGGAGUGUGGAAUUCCCGGUGUAGCGGUGAAAUGCGCAGAUAUCGGGAGGAACACCAGUAGCGAAGGCGCUCUACUGGACCGCAACUGACACUCAGGGACGAAAGCUAGGGGAGCGAAUGGG